rnacentral:tRNA from 1 species
GGUAGAAUGGCUGAGUUAAAGCAGUAAAUUGUAAAUUUACUUACGAAUUAAAUUCUUCUACCA